rnacentral:rRNA from 1 species
GGCGAACGCUGGCGGCGUGCUUAACACAUGCAAGUCGAACGAUGAAGCCGGAGCUUGCUCUGGUGGAUUAGUGGCGAACGGGUGAGUAACACGUGAGUAACCUGCCCUUGACUCUGGGAUAAGCGUUGGAAACGACGUCUAAUACCGGAUACGAGCUAGGACCGCAUGGUCACUAGCUGGAAAGAACUUCGGUCAAGGAUGGACUCGCGGCCUAUCAGUUAGUUGGUGAGGUAACGGCUCACCAAGACGACGACGGGUAGCCGGCCUGAGAGGGUGACCGGCCACACUGGGACUGAGACACGGCCCAGACUCCUACGGGAGGCAGCAGUGGGGAAUAUUGCACAAUGGGCGCAAGCCUGAUGCAGCAACGCCGCGUGAGGGACGACGGCCUUCGGGUUGUAAACCUCUUUUAGCAGGGAAGAAGCGCAAGUGACGGUACCUGCAGAAAAAGCACCGGCUAAUUACGUGCCAGCCGCCGCAGUAACAC